rnacentral:lncRNA from 1 species
CGCAAAUAAAAUUAGAAAUAUAUUCAAAUGAAAUACAAUAAAUUGAGAAAUCAAAAUCUAAAAUAUUUAUAUAAUUUGUCAAACCCCUUCAAAUAUUUCUAAUAGAUCCCUAAAAAUAAAUAAUACAAAUAAACUCUCAAGUUAUACAAGUACAAAAACAAUAAUUAUUUUUAUUAUUCCAAUUUUUUUUAAAUAAAUAAUAAUAAUAAAAACCAUGGCAGCUUCACCAGCUCUUUCUGCUUCUCCCACUACGGCACCAUUGAACCCUUCCUUCCAUGGCAGCUUCACCAGUUCCUUCUAGUUCACCCGCUCUUCCAUUGUUGACCAACAUUUUUUUUCCGUCGACGGAGUCCACCACUGUUAAUUGAAGUUGGGGGUUACGUCCACUGAUACUUUAAUAGAUGGAUGUUGAGAUUGAUGACCAGAAACGCCAUCGAAAGCUUUGGUAUUUUGAACAUAAAAAUUUCAGAUUGAGUUGUUUCUCCAUUUUAGACAAAUCAAGAUCUCGUGGAAUGUUGAAAGUUUGAUCGAGGGGCAAUAUUCCCCCACCGAAUUGUUUCAUCGAGUGGGCCUAGUGUCUUGGUCGAAAAAACUGGAAGUGGCUUCAACCCAGUUCACAGUAUCGGUCCAGGAAGGGGAUAGAGUAGAGAAAACGGGUAACCGGUGUCUGAAUCGGGCAGGAGAUGACAAGGUUAACCGUGUGCACCCAUUGGAAAGAGGGACCGCCAUUGAAGACGGCAGUAGCUCAAAGCUUCUGUGGGUUUUUUCUUUUUGUUGUUAAAAAAGGUUCAGUGGAGAUUUGUGUUGUAUGGUUCUGGAUGGAAUUUUACGGAAUAAAUCAUAUUAAGAUAU